GUCUAUGGCCAUACCACCCUGAACGUGCCCAAUCUCAUAAGCUAAGCAGGGUUGGGCCUGGUUAGUACUUGAAUGGGAAAAACAGGCUGGGGUUAUGAAUU
rnacentral:rRNA from 1 species